GACGAACGCUGGCGGCGUGCUUAACACAUGCAAGUCGAGCGAGACCCCGCUUUCGGGUGGGUGUUCUAGCGGCGAACGGGUGAGUAACACGUGGGCAACCUGCCCUCAGCUCUGGGAUAACUCCAAGAAAUUGGGGCUAAUACCGGAUAUGACCGCUGACCGCAUGGUCUGGUGGUGGAAAGACUUAUCGGCUGGGGAUGGGCCCGCGGCCGAUCAGAGUGUUGGUGGGGUAGUGGCCUACCAAGGCGACGACGGGUAGCCGGCCUGAGAGGGUGGCCGGCACCACUGGGAAGGGGACACGGCCCAGACUCCGACGGGGGGCAGCGGUGGGGAAUGUUGCGCAAGGGGCGAAAGCCUGACGCAGCGACGCCGCGUGGGGGAUGGCGGCCUUCGGGUUGUAAACCUCUUUCAGAAGGGACGAAGCGAAAGUGACGGUACCUGCAGAAGAAGCACCGGCCAACUACGUGCCAGCAGCCGCCGUAA
rnacentral:rRNA from 1 species